rnacentral:rRNA from 1 species
GACGAACGCUGGCGGCGUGCUUAACACAUGCAAGUCGAGCGGUAAGGCCCUUUCGGGGGUACGACGAGCGGCGAACGGGUGGAGUAACACGUGGGUGACCUGCCCUCAGCUCUGGGAUAAGCCUGGGAAACCGGGUCUAAUACUGGAUAUGACUCCAUGACGCAUGUUGUGGGGUGGAAAGCCUUGUGCGGCUGAGGAUGGGCCCGCGGCCUAUCAGCUUGUUGGUGGGGGGAUGGCCUACCAAGGCGACGACGGGUAGGCCGGCCUGGGA